rnacentral:misc_RNA from 1 species
AAGAGUUAGAGAGCUCCGCUCUCGAACCUCCCACCCUCUGUUGUUAAAACUACCUUGUUGCUUUGGCGGGACCGCUCGGUCCCCGAGCCGCCAGGCCCCCUUCGCGGGGUCGAGGCGAGCGCCCGCCAGAGUUAAACCAAACUCUUGUUAUUAAACCGGUCGUCUGAGUUAAAAUUUUUGAAUAAAUCA